UCCCCAGUGGCGCAAUAGGUUAGCGCGCUGUACUUAUAAUGCGGAGGUUGUGAGUUCAAGCCUCACCUGGGGAA
rnacentral:tRNA from 1 species